UAAACAAUGAUUUAUCGUAGCUUACAAAUAUAAAUUCGAAUACCUAUAACAAUGGUCACUAAUCCCCAUAAUCCUAGGACGUCUUAUGAACCUCCCACCCCCCUGAAUUUUUUGUUUGUGUACGUGUCUGACCAAAAUCAUUUGCUAACAUUAACAUAUCGAUUAAACUUGUACUUACUAUUAGUAAACAUUCAGCAAGUCGUGUUCUGCUGACUUUGAUCAGCUAACUUUAAGAACAUAAUAUUAUAAAUUUAUAUUAUCUCGAAGCUGUCUAUUGUAUCUCUAUCGCCAUUU